GAUGAACGCUAGCGGCAGGCUUAAUACAUGCAAGUCGAGGGGCAGCAGCUUUAUAGCAAUAUAGAGGCUGGCGACCGGCAAACGGGUGCGGAACACGUACACAACCUUCCUUUAAGAGGGGGAUAGCCCAUAGAAAUGUGGAUUAAUACCCCGUAACAUAUCGGUGUGGCAUCACACUGUUAUUAUAGUUUCGACGCUUGAAGAUGGGUGUGCGGCUGAUUAGGUAGUUGGCGGGGUAAAGGCCCACCAAGCCUUCGAUCAGUAGCUGAUGUGAGAGCAUGAUCAGCCACACGGGCACUGAGACACGGGCCCGACUCCUACGGGAGGCAGCAGUAAGGAAUAUUGGUCAAUGGACGCAAGUCUGAACCAGCCAUGCCGCGUGAAGGAUGAAGGUCCUCUGGAUUGUAAACUUCUUUUAUAGGGGGCGAAAAAAGGGAAUUCUUUCUCACUUGACAGUACCCUAUGAAUAAGCACCGGCUAACUCCGUGCCAGCCGCCGCAGUAA
rnacentral:rRNA from 1 species